AUGUAUACACUAGAACCUGGUAGACGCUGGGUUUCUGCACAAUCCCUCACAGAGUCACUUGUUUAUCAACCUGAUAAAGAGCUGACUGUGGAUAUUGGAGACUCGGCUACUCUACGCUGUUGUUUUUCUGAAAAGGAAUUCGGGAUGAUGGCCUUGUUUAAGCAAUCAGCAAGAAAACAACCUCGACUUGUCAUCAAAUUGUUUCAAACAUCUCGAGAAACGUUUUAUAAUGCAAUCCAAGAGUCACGUGUUCGAAUUGAACGAUCAACAAACUGCUUCAAUCUGACCAUUUCUAGCACCAUUCAGUCUGAUGAGUCCAUGUACUACUGUGCACUACUGAUUUCACACGACCCUACGUUUGGAGAUGGAACGUAUUUAAAAAUAAACGGAACAUCUAAACCACCUCUGUGUGAUAAUUCAGUGAUGCCUGAAGCAACACCACAUGGAAACACAGCUAUCAUGAGCAUACAGGAGAAAACAGUGCUUAGUUUGGGGUCGGCUUUGUGUUUGUGCGCCUUCUGAUUUUCUGUCUGACUUAUUUCCUUCGGAGGAGAA